GAGACAAUGACCUUCUCCACCCUGUCACCGAGCACAUCCUUGAUCACCUUGCAGAGGCCCUCAAAUUUCUCCUUGAGCUCCUCUUUCUUCUUCUUUUCAUCCUCACUGUCCUCAAGCUUCAGGCCUUCCUUAGUGGCAGACACAAGCUUCUUGCCCUCAAACUCCUUGAGCUGGCCAAUGGCAUACUCAUCAAUUGCAUCAACCAUAUAUAUUACCUCGUAGCCCUUCUUCUUCAGCCUCUCCAGGAAGGGAGAGUUCUCCACAGCCUUCUUGCUCUCGCCAGUGAUGUAGUAGAUGUCAUUCUGGCCCUCCUUCAUCCUGGUCACAUAGUCCUUGAGGCUGGUCAGCUCAUCACCGCUCUUCGUGGAGUGGUACCUCAGGAGCUCAGCAAUCUUGGUCCUGUUGGCAGAGUCCUCAUGGAUGCCAAGCUUCAGGUUCUUGGAGAAGGACUCAUAGAACUUGUUGUAGUCCUCCUUGUUCUCGGCGAUCUCAAAGAAAAGCUCAAUGGACUUCUUAACAAGGUUCUUCCGGAUGACCUUGAGGAUCUUGUUCUGCUGGAGUGUCUCUCUGGAGAUGUUGAGGGGAAGGUCCUCGGAGUCAACAAUUCCCUUGACAAAGCCCAGCCACUCUGGGAUCAGCUCCUCACAGUUGUCCAUGAUGAAGACACGGCGCACAUAGAGCUUGAUGUUGUUGGCCUUCUUCCUGGUGUCGAAGAGGUCAAAGGGGGCCCUCUUGGGGACAAAAAGGACAGCCUUGAACUCAAGCUGCCCCUCUACAGAGAAGUGCUUGACAGCCAGAUGCUCUUCCCAGUCAUUUGUCAAGCUUUUAUAGAAAGCAGCAUACUCCUCCUUGGUGAUCUCCUCAGGCUUCCUCAUCCAGAUAGGUUUCUGCUUGUUGAUCAAGGACCAUUCAUGAGAAACCUCCUUGAUCGUCUUCUUUUUCUUCUCUUUCUCUUCCUUCUCUUCAUCAAUUUCCUCAACCUUUCCCUCCUCUGUGUCCUUCUUUUCUUCCUCGUCUUCAUCAUCAGAGAUCUCCUUCUCGGUGGUCUUCUCAGUCCACAGAGAGAUAGGGUAGCUGAUGAACUCAGAGUGUUUCUUCACCAGAUCCUUAAGGCGGCGCUCCUCGAGGUACUCCAACUGCAGAGUAGGAUGGCAAAUUUCAGCAAUAAUUUGAGCAUAGCGGAAAGAAUUGCUGCAGUCUGAACAUAUUAAAAGUAACUACGCAAUGGUGCAAACAGUCAGAAUUGCAUUACUAACAUAUCAUUAUAGUGAACAUUUAUAGACCUUGACAUGUGUGGAUAAGUUAAGAACAGACCGUAUGACCAAAUUCAUUUGUUUGGAUUACUUUACUGAUUCAACUUCAAGCAAUAGCACACACAAUAUCAAAACAAUAGCAAACAAUAGUGCUGGCUCAAUACCAUAGCAGCAUCAAACAUAAAUCCAAUUCAUUCAAUUCAAUGUUGCAACAACUAUACUGAUCUAGUUUCAUAGCAACAACCCACAGUAAUACUGACACGAUUUGGAGGAGUGCAAAACAAUAAAUCCAAUGCUUAACACUAGCAAGUGUACCUCAAUUUCAUUGCAACAGACAACAAUAAAUUCAUUAAUAGACCAUAGCAAUUAUCAACAACUCUUAUUCACUUGCAUACCCAAAUUCCAACUUCAGUUAACACUCCCAGUUCAACAAUAAAUGAUCACCAAUAACAAAACCAGCACCUUUCAUUCAUUUUAAUAGCAACAGAGCAUGAACAGCACACAACAAGAAUGUGUCAUGAAAAGAUCAAACCAGCCACACAAACUAUCAAGACUAACAUACCAAACUAAGCUGCAAACAGAACGUAGCACAGGCAGCCAGUGCAUGUAAAUAAUAUUAUUCUUCUAAAAUAGCGCACCAGGCAAGUGCAUGUAUAUUAUCAUUUGGAGGGCUAUGUUUUGUUGUACCUGAUCUUCCUUGAGAUAGAGAGUCAUCUUCGUACCCCUUCCGAGGGACUCUCCAGUAUCACGGGUAACAGUGAAGGACCCACCAGCCUGAGACUCCCAAACAUACUGCUCAUCAUCGUUGUGCUUGGUGGUCACGACGACUCUAUCAGCAACAAGGUAAGCAGAGUAGAAGCCAACACCAAACUGACCAAUCAUGGACACAUCAGCACCAGCAGCCAAUGCCUCCAUGAACUCCUUGGUCCCGGACCUUGCAAUCGUACCAAGGUUGUUCACCAGAUCUGACUUGGUCAUACCAAUACCACUAUCAAUAAGCGUGAGCGUGUUUGUGGCCUUGUCAGGGACAAUGUGGAUGAACAGCUCUGGCUGAGCAUCAAGCUUGCUCUUGUCAGUCAGGCUCUCGAACCUGAUCUUAUCCAAUGCCUGCAGAACAGAGCAUCCAAUUUAGUGAAAAUUUCACAAACGGCAUCCAAUCAACAAUGUAAAACAACUAGGAUAUUAACCGGAGACUGAUGCUUUACAAAAACUAAGAAAACAAUGCUUGUUUAGAAUGAGCAUACAGCCUAUUUUCGCAAUUUUGCUCAAACUAGGCUACUUGGGAUUCCAAUGUUGUGGGAGUAGUGAAUUUAACUGAACAAAAUCAAGAGUAAUUCUAUCUACAUGCAAAUCUACCUUAGAGAUUUGAAGGUGGGAGACCAAUGAUUCUAAGAAAUUAAUAAAUCUUAAUAAUCAGCACAAACGCAAUCUAGUCGUCUUAAUAUUUAAGCUUAUAUGAUUGAAGGAUUUAAAGCAUAGCACAUACGCUCGAUUGAGCUUUCAACAGAGAGUAAUUGUUUUGAACGCUAGUUUAAUGGGCAAAUCAGCUCACUAACCACGGGAGUUUCAUAUUUGACAUACCACGGAGUCCAGAGAUCAAAAUAAUUUAAUGAUACGCCUUAUGCACAGAACGGUACACAUAUCGCAGAUUCACAGUAUGAUUGAAAAUCACACCGAUCUAUUUUUUAUGCAUCAUAACGUCCACAGAUCUAGAGCGGCAAGGGCAAACAAAAACAAAGGUACAGGGGCCGCGGGGUAGGGAGCUUACAUCGGAGGAGUUGGAGAUGAGCUCGCGGAGGAAGAUCUCCUUGUUGGAGUAGAAGGUGUUGAUGAUGAGCGAGAGCAACUGGUUGAUCUCCGCCUGGAAGGCAAAGGUCUCCGUCUCCGAGGCCAUGGCGCCGGAACCCGAGGGGAAGAAGACGGCGGCUAGGGUUUUUGAGCGGGUACCAGGGUUGCUGUAAGGCUAGGUCAGAGAGGGGAUGCGUGGGGGAGCGGAUUUAUAGUGAGGGGAGGGGUUCUGGAACGUUCUAUGCCACGCGAUGCAAUGGGGAGACGACGCGCGAGGUCAGGGUCAAGUUGACUAGUCGUUGGGCCCGAGUUCCUGUGGCCCACAUGUCAGUUAGAUAGUCUAAGUUGCUCUCCAGAAGCUUCUACGUUUUGUCUAUGAAUGAGUCAACGAUGAAAUGGGAAUGAAUUCAUUUCUUAUGCACAAUUUUCACAAUUUAGCAAACCAACGUGAUUUAAAUCUCUCUCAUGUAACAUACUACGAGACAAUUCAUUGAGAAUGUUGUUUAAGUUCAAAAUUGCGCUAAAUCAAUGCCAAUAAUUUAGGAUCGGAGGGAGUACUACCGUUGUUCAAACUAUAAGAUUUUAUAAUUUUGUCUUAAAUCAAACUUCUUCAAAUUUAUAUAAAACUACCGAUGUCUACAACUCUAAGUUAAUGUUAUUAAAUUCCCUAUAAAUCUUUAUAUACUUAUUUGAUAUUUUAGAUAUUGGUGUAUUUUUAUAGCGUUGGUCAAAUUUUAACGAGCGAAUUCAAAUUUUGCCCCAUGUUUGGUAAUUGUCAAAUGUUUACCCCGUUAUUUAAUUUUGUGCUAUAUUUUUAUCCUCUAUUUGUAAAUAUGAGUCCGUUUUUACCCAUCUAACCAAUUUGCCUGGUUUUUGACAUGUUGUACCACCUGUUGCUGUUGGGGUGACAUGGCUAGUCAAUGCCUAACAUGUUGAAAGCCUACUUUGGUAUGGCACUUUCUCCCUCUCCUUAACCGCCCCGGUUACCAACACCAACUCAUUUUCUCCAUGUUUUUUUUCUUAUAGUUAGGUCAUAGUUUUUGAGAAUUUCAAAUCUUCUACUCCCUCCGUACAACAAAAGAUGUCUCAAGUUUAUCAAAAUUUGGAUGUAUCUAGACAUGACUUAGGGAGCGUUUGGUUUCUUCGCUCAGUUGGCCCGUUGCUGAGCUAGCUCACCUAUCAUGGCUGGGCAUUGCUAGUUUUCCUGUGUCUUGCCAUUUGGUUGUUUGCUUUUGAGUUGACCAGAUUGUGGUUUCCGUGAGGAUCAGGCAGUUUUUCUUCUUGGGACCGCUUCUUGUCGUCGGAGGCGAGCCGAUCUGGCUCUCCCUUGCGGGCAAGGAAUUUCUGGCCCGUUUGAGCUAGCUUGCCUCCAAAAGUCAGGAUAAAUUGACAGAUCCAAACGUUGGGCCUUGCUGGGCUAGGCUAAUUGAGCUUUUGCCUGGGAACCAAACGAACCCUUAGUGUAUAGAUGCAUUCAAAUUUAGUCAAAGUUGAGACAUCUUUUGUUGGACGGAGGAAGUAUGAGUUUUUUUUGUCAAAUGUAAAAAAAUCAAAAUGUUGUUUCUCAAAAAGUUCAGAAAUUGUUGUAAAAUUUAAUGGAAAAAACUUUUUUUUGUGACCUAGCUAAAAUACAAGUCCAUUGCUUUAGGUUUUAGCACAUUUAGAGCACUGCAAUUCAUUAUCAUGUCCAUGGUACAAAACGCUUUUUUAUUUUAAUACAUUGAGGAUAGAACAGGCUCGUGUUGAAUACACGAUCAUUUACAUUUGUAACUUAAAAAAAAAUCUUUGAACUAUUGUAUAAUCUUUGAUGUUCAUCUCUCGAGCACAUGCUCCCGUUAGCUUUUGUGCCUCUCUGUCAUAUCUUGUUCUGUUUUUUUGUUCAUGUUCGAAGAUUUGAAGCAUCCUCCAAUUUAGAAAAAAAAAACGUGCAAAGAAGUUUCUGGAAGAAGGGGAGGCUCAGAGGACGCGGAGCAUCUCGUCAGCGAAAACUCCCAACGACCCGGAUGCGUACUCCAGAUGCGUUCAAUUCAAUCCAGUGGUCCAUUUCCAAGCUCCAACCAGGCCCAUGGAAACAAGACACGGGCAACUACAGCUGGUAAGGGUAAACGAAAACCAGCAAGAAAUUUCGACUUCGAGCGGUACUUAUCUCUGAACGUGCAUGCAGCAGACGGAGAUACAGUCAAACAAAAGAGGAAAAGGGCAAAAGAAUGAUACCUUGCUUCGCAGGGUAGUAGAAUCCGGGACCAGAUUGGUUGUACAUCCAACUCCAACUGUAAAGACUAGAAGAAGACACAAUUACAAGAGCUUCUUUGCAGAGAACUCUUUGAUAAGGGAGGUAUCGUUCCGUUUCAAAAAAAAAAAAAGACAAGGGAGGUAUCGUUUGUGGGACUCCCUUGAAAUAAAGCUUUCAGCAACAACAACAACAACAAAAAAAACUCCCUUGAAAUAAAGCUUUCAACAAAAGAAGAACUCUUCAGUCAAUCUCAGGAGUUUACAGGUCUCCAGGCCUAACAACUCAUUAGAUCAUGCUUUGCAUUCAGAGGGAGUCGGACCAGAAGGGAAUACUCAAGCUUAGGUAAGACUGAGGUACAAUGAGUGUCAGAUAAAAAGAAAGACUGAGGUACGAUGGACUGGAGACUCACAGGAUCGCGAUCUACAUCAUCGCUCAGAGCGAAUCGCUCUGGCCAUUACUAGGACCACUGGACCAACGAUCCUUUUUUGAGUUGUACAAAGUGGAGCAAGGCAGUGUAUGUCUGUCCAAAGUGGCGACACAGAAGGGUGUUGUAAGGAACAUUACAAGACUGUGAUUCCAAUGCAAAGAUGGAUUUUUGGUUGAAUACUGUAGUGAAAACUUAUAUGAUCCAAAGAAACUACGGAAAUUCGUGCGUGUCAGAAACGUUUGAUGCGCCUGCAUCCAGGAAUACCGGCACACCUUCUCUGGAUUUCUCUUGAGUUUUGGUUUGAUUUUGCUUGCGCUCGAAAUAGUUGGCGUGGCUGAUGAGCGGCAUGCACGAGUCGAGAGCACAGCAUUCUGGUUGCCCUGUUGGUGAAGCGAGGUGUGUGUUCUGCACAAGUGCGGCAUCAGUACCAGGAAAUUCCCGGAAAAACACUACUACACGAUGCCAUCGAGCUGCCUUCUGUUUUUCCAGCCGCAGUGUUCUUGACUCGAACAGAUUGCAGCUUCCUUCCUUCCAGAACGAUCUUAAUUCAUGUAAAAGUGGAUUGUUUCGAAUGGAGGCGUCCAAGUCGUCGGCUUGGUCGUCGAUUUUCGUUCUGCAGAUACUUCCUCUUGUUUCGAUCAGACAGAAACUCAACUUGGCGGAUCAUCGAGAACAACACCAAUCACGUGUAUGCACUGCUGUUCAAUCAGUACUCCGUACAAGAUUUGUUCGUUAACGCAACACGCUGGCGGAUCGAUGCCUGCCGACACCUAUCAAAUCACGCGUGCACUGCAGUGUUAUUCAAGCACAUGAUUUGUUUGUUAGGUGUGCACGUCAAAUUGAAGGCCCCCCAUGCAUGCAUCCUGGAUCACACGCGCAAUAGUACUACACGAUUGCCUUUCCCCCCUUUGUCUUAUAGCAAAAUCCCACAGAUGCAUAACGUGUUCAUUCCUCUUCCAUUAAUUUUCAGAAGAUUUUUCCUUGCCAGGGCCGGCCAUGAGAUAUCUACAUACUGUAUAUAGGUUCCGUCCAGGCUGCAGAGAAGCAAAGUCAUCAGAGAGGUACUGGAUCACCGGACCAAGCUAAUAAUAGUUGCUUAGCCAUGGUCACGAAGAUUUUUCUUGGUAUUUCCCUUUUCGUGAUAUCCAUCCAACUGGUCGCCGGCGACGACGACGGCAGGCUGAGCAAGGUCGUGCGGCAGGUGCCGGCGAUGUACGUGUUCGGGGAUUCGACGCUGGACGUCGGCAACAACAACUACUUGCCGGGUAACGAUGUCCCCAGGGCCAACAUGCCACCGUACGGCGUGGAUUUCAGAGGCUCCAAGCCCACCGGACGGUUCAGCAAUGGCUACAACAUCGCCGACUCUAUCGGUGCGUACAUAUAUAUACAUGUGUAUAACUGUACAUAUGUAUCCUGUAUUUAUAUGCGCACGUACGCAUGAGGCGUGAGAGACUUAUAUAUUACAGCAUACUGUACAUAUUUUUGCAGCGAGGACGCUGGGACUGAAGGAGAGCCCUCCGGCUUAUCUGUCGCUCGCGCCACGAAGCAGCAUCCGUCUGGUCCUCGCCGCGCUCAGCGAAGGCGUCAGCUACGCGUCGGCUGGAUCCGGCAUACUGGACUCCACUGUAAUCAAGCGAGCUUAAUUGCUUCUCAGCCUAUAAGCACUGUUGUCAAUGUUAAUCACGAUGGUUGAUGCAUCUAUGUCACCAUGUGCAGAACGCUGGGAACAACAUCCCGCUGUCGAAGCAGGUGAGCCACUUGGCUUCCACGAAGCGCAAGAUGGAGGCCACGGUGGGCGCCCGCGCCGUGCGCCGCCUGCUGUCCGGCUCCUUCUUCCUCCUCGGCACCGGCAGCAACGACGUAUCCGUCUUCGCCGCGACCCAGCCGGCGGCCGGUGACGUGGCCGCGUUCUACGCCAGCCUCGUCUCCAACUACUCGGCCGCCAUUACCGUAAGCAUCCAUCCAUCCACGCAGACUCGUACAAUACCAGAUGCAUUCUUAGACUAUUUACGUAUAUACAUACAGGAUUUAUACGAGAUGGGGGCGAGGAAGUUCGCGGUGAUAAACGUGGGCCUGGUGGGCUGCGUGCCAAUGGCGCGGGCGCUGAGCCCAACGGGCUCGUGCAUCGGCGGGCUGAACGACCUCGCCUCGGGCUUCGACGCCGCGCUGGGCCGGCUCCUCGCGAGCCUGGCCGCCGGGCUGCCGGGCCUGUCGUACUCCCUCGCCGACUACCACGGCCUGUCGACGGAGACCUUCGCGAACCCGCAGGCGUCCGGGUACGUGAGCGUCGACAGCGCCUGCUGCGGGAGCGGAAGGCUGGGGGCGGAGAGCGACUGCCUGCCGAAUUCCACGCUGUGCGGCGACCAUGAUAGGUUUGUGUUCUGGGACCGCGGCCACCCUUCCCAGCGGGCCGGCCAGCUCAGUGCCGAAGCUUUCUAUGACGGCCCGGCCCAGUUCACGGCUCCUGUCAGCUUCAGGCAGCUGGCUGACAUGGAUGCUAGCUAUUAGUAGAGGAUUAUUAUUGGUUUUGCAUGUAGUUAUGCUGAGCUACCUUCGAAUAAAAUAUGGUACUUCCCCCCUCUCAUAAUUCUGGUCGAAAUAUUACAUGUAUUUAGUUAUUUUUUAAAAUAAAUAUAUUUAUUUUUGGAUAAAUUUGAGACCGGAAUUAUGAAACGGAGGGAGUACCAAGGAUUGGAUCUUCGAUCUUCCAUGCACUCCCGUCGUAAGAACUUGAGUGAGGAUCCAUCAUGCAUUCUGGCUAAGGAUGUAAUUAAUUAUGAUUUCAAAUUUUCAACAAAUGCAACAACAAGAAUGGUCAUGGACUAUAAAUUAGAGACCAUUUGAAAUCCAUUUUACGCUCAGUUGCCACAAAGGGAUGAUAAAGUAGACCGUAAUCGUGUAGACCAAAUAACCGACCGAGUAAUAUAAUAAGUUCAAACCGACCGAGUACUUAUUUAUUUUUGAAGUUAAACUGUAAGGGUUGCGCGAUUGCAGUCCGACAGUAUAUAGAUAUAUAUAAUUCUACAAAAUGAGACACCAAAGUACGACCUUCGAAGAUCGAACUCUGGUGGGCUGUCAGCAUACCUGGCUAGCUGACCACCUAAACUAUGCUUGGUUCUCGACCUAGUACUUAUUGGAUUACUCGGUGGGUUAAGUGAACUUAUUGGAUUACUCGGUCGGUCAUGUGGUCUACUCGACUACAGCCUAAUUUAAAACUUCCCGCACACCUUGUUUAUGAACCUUGUGCUAGCUGUGGCAUGGCAGUAACUGCAGCUCUGCACGGACCGGAAUCAACUGAAGCUGCAGUUGGUGUAUUGGUCGGACUCGGAGUCAAAUUGAUCCCCGCGUGAUGCAUGGCGCCCGGGGUACAAAUAUGCCGUUGCCAUGCCUGCCCUCGAUCGAAAUCAAAACCGAAAUCGAAGGCUCUCGAACCGGCCCCCGGCCGGCGCUUCGACGUCACCGUUCGGCGGCGAGGCCAUGCCCAUACCCCAACGGCUGGCUGUCGUCGUCAAAACGCCGCCUCCACGGCCGGAACGGCAGCAGCGAGCACCGUGGUCCGACCGCGGCCCUGCCGGCCGACGUCCUCUCGCUGAUCCUGGCGCGCGCGUCGUCGGGCGCCGCUGACGUGGCGGACACGCACGCCGCGCUCAUCUGCCGCCGCCCUCUCGAUACCACACCCGCCUUGCCCUCGGUUUCUUCCACCAGCAACACGAACGCGUCCGCGCCGUCUUCCCCAGCCGCCGGACGACGACCGCGCAGCCCCGCUUUGUGCCCACAGCGUCCGCCUCGCGCCUCCUCCUGGGCCCGGGCUCUCAUCAUCUCGAUCCAGGUCCAGGCCCACCAGGCCUGUUCGACUACGCCCGCCCGGUCGCGUCCCGGAACGGGCGCGUCGUGCUGGCGCUGCGGCGACGGGCUGACGCUCAGCGUGUUGAACCCCAUGACCGGGGACGUGUCCGUGCUCCCCGCGCUCUCGGGCGACGACUGCCCGGGGCAGUGCUACGUGUGCGCCCUGCUCACGAGCGACGACCUCGCCGAUCGAACCACCGGCGCCCGCGGGCUUCUUCUUCCGGGUGCUCCUCGUCUACAACGGCCGGCGCCGCAGCGGCUUCACGGCGCUGCUGGCCUUCUCGUCGGACACCGGCAUGUGGGGCCCGGAAGGCCGGAAGCCGGGGCCCAAGAUGAAUGCCGCCAGGCUGCGCCGGGUAGGCCCCGCGCGCCGUGGCCGUCCGCGGAGUCGUCCAGUAGCGCCACCAUGGACGUGAGCUUCGUGCCCUACAGCACCUCCAGCCUGUACUAUUUCCCGGACUACCGCGUGCUGGGCGUGUCACCGGAUGGGAGCCUCAGCUUCGUCUACGCGACUCUCAAUGGACUCAGCAUCUUUGUCGAGACCCUAGAGCCGCAGGCGGGUCAGUGGGAGACGCGCGAAUGGAUCAAACUGCCCCAGGUCCAGGUGAGCCAUGCGACGACCGCGGUUAAGCUGCGGUGGUUCAACGAGAAGAGCGGCACCGUGCUCUUCACCUUGAGACAGCAAGACGGAGACGACGCCACCAGCGGCGCCUUCCUGUUGAAUAUCGCCACGAGGUCGCUGGAGAAGCUUGCCGGCGGCGUCGAAUGCCAUGGGUGGAGGAACGUUUGCGGAUAUGAGAUGGACCGUGUGGCGCUCAUUGCGUCCACUGCCCGCUUCUGAUCUUCGUACGACACGUACGUACUUUUGGUUCUAGCCAUCGAGAAGAAAACAAGACAUGGAUGUUCAGCAAUUAGUGCUGUUUAACAUAGCUAUAAAGAAUAUGUCAAAUUAUUUUAUUUUGAUAGAAUCUAUCCGAUAAUUACAUAUAAGCUCAUUGACAUAAACUUGAGAGGAGCUGAUCCCAAACGUCACCUCUCGGACCCCAAAAUGUCGCUUGAGAAAACAGCUUAGUUUACAACAACCAUCCACGAAUUCGGAAGCACAAAGGUAGUUUUUUUGAGAGUUCUCCCAAAGGAGGCCCGAGGGGCAAUACACUUGCCGGAGCAAAAUAACCUUCUAGGUAGAAGCUAAGGGAUGCAGCAUAGGUCAUGAUGUAACCACCGAACUGGGGAACACGAUCAACAGAAGGAGGACUGUCAUGGGCAGCCAGAACGCCACAAGACAGCACCAGAGUGCAGUGAGGAUCAAACCAGAUAGCUCAAACAAAACAUGAAAACUACUGGCAAGAGAAACCACAAGCAUCAUCAUUAAGAAGACGCACCAAUGUCAUCUCAUGACAAAAGAUGACGCUGGCUCAUUAAGCAUGAAGAGAUUGCACAAAGUCUUCACCGGAGGGUGGGUUGUCCGAGAGAAGGAAAAGUAGUAAUAUGGUGGUGACAUGCUCUCGAAGAGUGCCACUAGUGUAAAAAUGUCUCCCCAAAGGGGGGGUGAGUUACCCAAUUGAGGAGUGUAAAAGGAGGGCAUAUACGACGACAUAUGAUGACAACAAGGGCAAUCCUGACAGAAGUUUCGAGAUUUGGAGAAGCUAAAUGGAGUUGGAUGAAAUGGGGUGGCGGAUGGAUAUCAGAUCGACCAAAGUUAGCACAACGCACUCUAUCACGGCAUCUCCGGCAGGAGGAAGCCGUCUCCAUGGCAGCCAUCUGCGAAACCAUGGAUCUUGGAAGCACAGCAAUCAAGUUGGUAUAGAGACCUCCAAGUAUAAGCCACGACACCAGGCGUUAAACUAUUGGUGCCGCCACCACAGCUGCCACCUGCAAACCAUGGUUACCGAGGGCAUGGCAGUGCCACAGGCAACGGAGGGAGGGACGAGGAGCAGCAUCACUCUAAUCAAGGUGAACAUCCGGAAAAAUUUGCAAUCUGAGGUGGCAGCGGGUUGGUGGAGUGGGGAGCAAUGAAUGAAGGGGGCGAUACCAGCACUGAAGAUGGCCGAUGAGGAGGCGAAAAUCGGAGUUGGAGGAGCCGUGGAGGGCAGCUUCGGAUCCUGGGACGCGGGCGGAGGCGACGGGCCAGGACUAGGCCGAGCGGCCCGCGGGAGGCGAGACCUGGGCCGGUGUGGAGCCCCAGACGGCGAUGUCAGCGGGCGCUCGGCCGAGCAGACGCCUGAUCUUGCCGUCAGACAAGCCAUCUCGGGAGGGGAGGAGGUGGGUACCGUCGACAGCGAGGUGGGCAGGAGCGGCAGGAGGGAGCAGCGAGUCAGCAGUCCGCCGGAUCUGGCCCGCGCCCGCCGGAUCUACCUUUAUCACGGCGACGACGAGCAUAGGCUACGAGGGAGCUAGGCUAGUCGGAGGCGCGCGGACGUGGCCUUGGCUGAGGACGAUGGCGAGACGACGAUGAGGGGCGGUGCGAACGUGAACCUGCGGCGCAACGCUCUGGAUCAGGAAAGCACCACACAGAGCAGGCCCUUGCACGGGAGAUGGGGUCGAUGGCGAGGCGAGGGGUGGUGAUGGGCGGCGCAGAUGAGGACCCGCGGCGCAGCAUUCCGGAUCUGGACGGGCACGCUGCUCGCCGAAUCCGGCCACCGCAGGCAGGGGGACGAGGCCCGGAAAGCACCUAGGGCCGCAGCCUCGCAGAGCAGGGCGCUCGCAUGGGACAAGCGGCAGCAGCAGCCCCGCCGCCACCAUCCUCGUCCGCUGCGCGAUUUCCGGCGACCAACUCUGAUGGCGACGAGGGGAAGCAGGUGGAGGGAGGCGGCGCUCGGAGGGAAACCUAGUCGCCCCCGAGUCGCUCUCGGGAGGACGACGCGAGGGACGCGUUUUUCCACAAAGGUAUUUAUAUGAGUUGCAUCUGACUAACUGCUUGACAUUAAUAGUUUAUCACAACACAAAUACAUACAAACAGCAAGAACCUUCUUAAAGACUUUCCAGAUCGGAUGAAAUGCGGAUCACUUACUAAUCAAAUACACAGCUGAACUAUCAUGAUGUACUAUAUGCCAAAUAAUCCUAUGCGAUUUGGAAUGAAGAAGAUUGCCGUGAUGAUCAACAAUAUUAACAACAUGAGGUUCAAUACACGAGUAAUUUACAAAAAUCACUGCACAGUAGCUACCAUCAGUCAGUGGCGGAGCCAGGAUUUUGUCAAGACCAGGACAGUUGCUCCCAAUCGCUAGAAUUAGCAAGUAAGACCCAGACCAAAUCGUGAAAUCAUCAAAAUUACCAAAGGAAAAAGCUUCUACGCCCUGGGCCGCGGUCUCCGCCCCUGCCGUCAGGAGCAUUUCUUGAAAACGGGAAACUUGCUUUAAGACAUGAACAAUAAAUUUAAGCACAAAUAAAAAGCAUGAAGACACAAUUAUCGAAUUGUGAUGUAAAGCUUUGUUUUCUUUUUCUAUAAACCAUUUUAUAUUGAUUUGAAGACAGGUUGUGUUCACAGGAAAUCACAAUGCCGGCACCUUGAUUGGAUGAAAACUUUGUUUCUUUUCUUCUAUAGACCAUUUUAUAUUGAUCCGAGGACAGUGUAAAGCUUUGUUUUCUUUUCUAUAAACCAUUUUAUAUUUAUUUGAGGACUGUGUAAAAGGACUCGAUACAGAAACAUCGGACCCGAGGUUUAGGCAUGGAGGUAACAUUGAACAUAGUACAUACAUUAGUAUUUUAACAGGGUUGUACAACAUCAAUUGGCUUAAAACGAACAGGGCGUAUAGGAGCUUGGCCGCUUGGAAUGGUGGACUCCGGAUAAAGUGGGUUCAGUUGCAGUAUUGAACAGGUUUCAGAGAAUACAACGAAGUUCAUGAAAAGGUUGAAGUGCUUCGGGAGCAAUUCCGCAACAAAAUUGGUCAAAUUAAGGUAGUAACAGCAGGUGAUGCGACUUCUCACUUCACUUCUCAGUUCAAUAAAGCUCCCUUUAUCGGAAAAAAAAACAAAAAUUAACAGAAAGAUACUAAGAUAUCUAUACCAAUAUAUUAAAUUGGAGUAUGUGGUGAUGGUACGAGUGUCGCGGUGCAUCACUUCACCAAAAUUACGAAUCUGCCAUCGCUGUCCCACGUGUCUUUUAAUCCCGGCUCCCGCAGUCCUCAAGCGCAGAAAAAACACGUACCACAAAAAAAAAUACAAACUAACAGAGCCCUCAUCGCGCCUCCUCCUCCUCUCCUACGAAUCUCACCCCCACCCCCUGCCCGAUCCGGAUCUCGCCGCCGCUCUUGGUUGCCUCCACCGGCUCGUGCGUGUCGGCGGCGUUCGUGUGCGGAAGGCGGCUCCGUCACGUGCUCCAACCGCCGCCUCCACCGGCUCUUGCGCGCCGGUGGCUCCCCGCGGGACUUGGACGGCGAUGAGACGAGCCUGAGGCCGGGAUGGCGGUCGCUUCGCACAAGGCAGCAAGGACUGCGUCGGCGCGAGCCAUCGGUGGCCCUCUGCACGGGCAGUGGCACGCGGCAACUAGUGGCCGGACGCGAUGUGUGGCGGCGCGCGGGCGCGGCGAACGGGCGGACAAGGCUGCGAGAGGGCGCAGGCGGACGGCGCACAGGCGGCAAGUGGGAGCAAACGGCGCAUGGGAGUGGACGGGCAGCGGGAAUCUACGGGUGGAGGCGGGGCGCACAAGCGGACGGCCGUGCAUGGCGACGUGAUGUUCGGUGGCAGGAUGAAUCGGGACGGGGAGAGGAGGAGUUUGCACUCAGUGUGAAUGGAGAGGAUAGUCAGAGAGAGCGAGAAAUUGAGAGAAGAUAUUUGAGAAAUAAAAUACGGAGUAGAAGUAAUAGUAGAGCACAAGGAGAAAUGUAGAAGACAUGUGGAAAAAAAAAAGAAACUAGUGUAUAGCCCACGAAAAUAAAUAUAUCAUAAGCGAUAUAUACAUAUGUACUCAAUUUUCCGUUGUUCCGGACCAACGUACGGUUCUUUUGCUAGUACUACGUAUACAGGAGAUGAUUACCAUACGCAGUUCGAAACUCAUAGACCCCCACCACCAUAUGACACCCUUAACCCCAUCUACUUUCUGCACAUGACAUCUAUGAACUGACCCCAUCUACUUUCUGCACAUAAAAACAAGUGAAGGGGAAACCUGGUAGAAUCAGGCGCUGACCCUUUAUAAUAGCGCCAUUCAAUAAGAUAAACUGAGCUUUGGUUGGAGAAUAAAAUCUGCACAUGACAUCUAUGAACUGUAAGAUAUAAUCAGAAAAUGCUCUCUAACAUAAAACAAAGCAAUAUUGGUUUACAGUAAAACUAUAUCUCUUGACUGAGGAUUCACACUUGACUUCCACAUAUUGUGGGAAAUAGGAAUGAGCCCAGCAAAACAUUCCCGAAACUAAGUCACCUUUAGAUGCCUAUGAUAUAAGUUAUAACACUAAAAAAUGUAUAAGGAAAUAAGGAACCACUCAGAUUUCAGCCUUGAAAGUAAUUACCAUCAUUCAGGCAAGCAAGAAGGCGUCAACAAAAAUAAUACCUGAGCAAUAACCCAGGCAAAGAUCAGAAGCUUUUCCUGUAAAAGAUAUUUACUGUUUCCCACUAUUUGGGCGGUAAGGUGUAUUACGGAGUAGCACCUUUGGCUUCCUUCUUAAAGUCAAGGCAAGCACAACGAAGAUUGCAACCUGACAAAAGCAAUGUUCAGUCACAAACUGACAGUCAAACAUCAACACCAACAAGAAACUGACGUCAUGCAUUAUUGUAAUUACAUGCUCAAUAAUCAAGAGUUAGAGACUUUUAAUGGUCAAAAUACAAGAGUAAAAUCUAUUUUGAACCUUGUCUUUGUAGAGGUUGGCUAAAUCAAACCCUGAACGUGCAAAUCCCCGAAGUUGCCACCCUCACCUCCCUAAUCCCGGUCUAAAAUUGCUUUAAAUGCGUUUAGAAGCCGGGAUCGCUGACGUGGCAGAGCCAAACCCGGGAAUCUUGACUUCUGUUGAGCUCAGUUUCCUCUCAAGUUGUGUCCAUUCAUCUCAAUUUGGUUGCGACUCGUAGCAAAUUCUCCUCUUCUCUGUCUCAUGGUUGUUAACUGUUCAUUCUGAACAACACGGUUGUUGUGGAUAUAUGGAGUGGCAUGAUGGCCCGAUGAUGCCGUUUCUUCGGCAAUUGCUACUCGAUCUAUGCAAUACAAUACAGUAUGGGCUUGUGAUGUUCAAGUUAAUGUGGAGCCAAUUGAAGCACAAAGAGCAAGAAAUGUGGCUGUUGCUGCACUAAGACAGGAGCUUGUUGAGAAGAAUGCAGAGAUUGAAGCUAUUAGGGCUAGAAAUGAGACAGGGGACAGGAAGAUGUAUGAACUUGUUGUGUAUGCAGUCCUGUUUUUUCUUGCUGGUUUAGUGGCAGGAAUUCAGCAUUGAGUUGUAUUGGUGUAUGGAAUUUCUGGAAGAAUGGCAGGAAUUAAUCAGUCAUCUGUAUGUGCCUUUGCUGUGAAAGAACGGCAGAUUCCAUGUGAAUUUUGACAGCACAUACUUGUGUAUUUCCUAUGUAUUUUUACAACACUUUUCUGUAUAUUUUGACAGCAGAAACUGAACUGAAUAAUGCAAAGAAAAGAUCACAGUUUUCUGAACAUUAUGACAGCACAUGUUGACAGGAAGAAAAAACAGACCCGAUCAAUCCAGCGUUCAAUCAUUCCAAAGAGACCACAUGUUGACCGGAAGCACAAACUGGGACUGAAAAUAAGCUGCUGGCGCCACUUUAUGGACCCCUGUUUGGAAAACCCGUUUUAGCAUCUUUAGACCGGGAUUUGGAAGUUUAGGGUGCCAACUUUAGGGAUUUGCAAGUCAGGAUUCCAUCUACAUUUCUACAAAGACAAGGUUUAAAAUAGAAUUUACUCGAUUACCAAUCUAUAUUUUAUCAUAUCCAAGAUCUCUAUGCAAUGCAGAAUGUCAGCAAAUAAAAUAUACAAUUUGCAGAACCUACCUAUUAAAUGAAUGAUGGUUGUUCGAGAACCAGGUCUUUCUACCUGAAUCAGCACUUCAUUGCAACCAAAAUGGUGCUAGAAUCGGUUGACAAGGGUCCAGUAUUGAAACAUAACAUUUGCGAUUAAAAUAUAGUUUGUGUUUUCCUUCAUGAACCUACGAUACAUAUGAUGAACAGGUGAUAGGUAAAGUCAUCAUGGAUUGAAUGCUACCUGGGCUUUGGAGUUCGUUGGACAACCUUCUCCGAAUUUUCCGGUCCCACUGCUUAACCUGACAACUCAGAAAUGAUUUUAUCCAUACACCACAAAACGAAUUCCCCCAGGGCAUUGGGAAAUCUCUGAUUGAUCCAAUCACUCGCCAUCUUGCAAACUGGCUCAGGAAUAUAGCACAAUGGUAUCUGCUCAAUACAUCAUACAACAACCAAUUAGGCGCAUCGCAAAAACAAUUCAAGUAUAAAGCAAGGUAAUUCUCAUUCUUAAAUAUCCUGAUGUAAGGUAAAUGUCAAUCACAAUGGUGAUGCAGAAACACAUGCAAUCUCUGCUAGUCAUUGAAGCAUGCAGGUGAAAGAGCAAUAACUAAAGAUGAGCUUGCAGAUUAUUCAACAAGUGAAGAUGAUCAAGCAUUCAAGCCCAAGAUCAAAAGGCGAGUGAAGGUGAAGCUGGAGGAGGAGGCGAUGGUGGUUUUGAAGUGGAUGAUGGCCUUGGUUUAAGCGACUGAUAAUAUAAUAGUAUGGUGCUGCAGACUGACAUAUAGGUGUUGGGCUGGUGUGCCUUCUUUUGGACAUACAAAUCUAGGCUGCCUCAGAUGAUCAUAAAAUAACUUCAUUUUUCAUAUAGCCAUACACAACUCUGCAUUUGUUACUUAAAGACGACGAACUGAAAAGAUUGUAUGACAGCACGUCCUACACAGUACUUUUCUAAGACAAGUAAGCUUCCUCAAAGUAGCGUUGAAACAAGUCGUUCCGCAAAUAAAAACAACUCAUUAUGCAAAUAAAAGAUUCUGCACAACGAAUACAAAUGAGGUGAACGGGUAGGCCCAUACCUGGAAUUCAAGGCUUACAUUCAACAAUAGUGGACACAAGAGCCUGUUUACCAAUAAGAUGAACAAUUUAUUUUUCGGUAGCAUCAUCACCAACUAAUAUGAUUUGCUCAGCACCAAAGCCAUGCAGGUUACCAUGUUUACAUUUGUUUUCUCCAAAAAUAUUCACAGUUGCAUUUUUGUCAUUACCCGUUUCCAGGACUCCAGCAGCACAGGAAGUUCUCCAUAUACCGGACCAGUCUCUGGAUUAGCUUGUCAACACACUUGAUGGGAAAAAGCACAAGAGGUAAAUGAUACUUUGGGCCAUACAAAGAAUUCCACAAUGCAUGCGAAAAUUUUGGAACAUAUCGGAGAGAUGGCGUAGCUUGUUUUCCAUGUUUAUUUCCUUGCAUGCAUGCUUAAAGUGAUCGAAUAUCUUCAAAUCCCCCUUGCUAUAGUAUGCUCAGUGUCACCGGCAAAAUGGAAGCCCUCCUCAAAAUUUCUACGGACAUACUUAACAAGUGCUAUUUGUGUCAUGGUCAGAUCCUGUACCUCAUCUACGUAAACAAAAUCCACCAUAUCGCCAUUGUGUAGCCCUCAGAAACUAGACUUCCAUGAAGACAAUUCACAAAAUAUUGUCUGCAUGAUAUGCUGGUUACAAAUAAUGCCCGAAAAGAGAUUCUUUGGUUAUUGGGGUUAGACUAUCCUCAAUUGCUCCUAGGUGAUGCACACAAAAUAUUCGACAUACUCUAUCCAAAAGACCCAAACUGGACAUUUUAGUAGCAAAAUGCAUAAAUACCGAUUAACAUGACCAUCCAUACUCACCAAAGAAGACAUCUAAGGUUUCUUUCCCUGGAUACUAAAUAGAAUGCAUAGACAUUGUUCAGUUUCUUUUCAUAAUUAUUAUUAUACAAACUAAUGCAAGUCUUUAUACUCUACUGACCCGUAAAAUAUGUGAUAUAUAUAAUUAUUUCAUUUUCUUUUCUCUAGAAAUCUCUGAUCAGAAGAGAUUAAGUUAAGCCAAUGCUGAUCAAAGUACAGCAUGCAAGAAAAAAAAAACUACAGCAGGUGAAAUGGCAAAGUUAACAGGAUGAUACUAAGAUAUACUACAUAUAUAUAGGAGACGAUUACCAUACGCAGUUCGAAACUCAAGACCGCCACCAUAGUGACAAUAUGAUAUCCUUAUCCCCAUCUACUUCCUGUAGGCUAGCACAGUAACACAAAAAACCGAACCGACCACAGAACACAGCAAAUCCAAGGCAAGCUUCCUAACACUUGAUGAAAAAAAAAAUGAAUGCAGACACCUAGUCGACCUCCUCCAUCUUGCUCUCGCCAGCGUCAUCCUCCAGUGCUGGCAUGUCGGUGUCAUCAGCAUCGGCGGCCUCAUCCUCAUCGAUGCUCAGGCCAAGCUUGAGCAUACGGUGGAUCCUGGUGCCGAAGGUGUUGGGGUCGUCCAGGCUGAAGCCAGAGGUGAGCAGGGAGGUCUCGAACAGCAGCAUCACCAAGUCCUUGACAGACUUGUCAUUCUUGUCAUCAUCCGCCCGCUUGCGCAGCUCCUCCAUGAUGGCGUUCUCCGGGUUGAUCUCCAUUGUCUUCUUGCUUGACAUGUAGCCUCCCAUGCUCGAGUCCCUCAGAGCCUGGGCCUUCAUGAUCCGCUCCAUGUUGGCAGUCCAGCCAUACUCACCAGUGACAAGACAGCACGGCGAGUCAACGACGCGGUCAGAGACAAUGACCUUCUCCACCCUGUCACCGAGCACAUCCUUGAUCACCUUGCAGAGGCCCUCAAACUUCUCCUUGAGCUCCUCCUUCCUCUUCUUCUCAUCCUCACUGUCCUCAAGCUUCAGGCCUUCCUUGGUGGCAGACACAAGCUUCUUUCCCUCGAACUCCUUGAGCUGGCCAAUGGCGUACUCAUCAAUGGCAUCAACCAUGAACAGGACUUCAUAGCCCUUCUUCUUUAGCCUCUCCAAGAAGGGAGAAUUCUCCACAGCCUUCUUGCUCUCGCCGGUGAUGUAGUAGAUGUCGUUCUGGCCCUCCUUCAUCCUGGUCAC
rnacentral:lncRNA from 1 species